GCAUCAAUGGGGUAGUGGUAACCUGGGUAGUUGCCAUGGACAUUGCAUCCCAAGACUCGACCCGCCGGGGGUUCGAUUCCCUCUUGAUGCA
rnacentral:tRNA from 1 species